CUCAAGGAACAGGUUUGGACACCCCUGAUCUAGACACUGAAGUGCACAAAAACAGUGGGUCCCAAUCCUGGUCCUAGAGAACCCUCAACACUGCACAUUUUAGAUGUCUCCCUAUUCAAACACACCUGAUUCAACUCAUCAGCUCAUUAAUGAAGACUCCAAGACCUCAGAUGUAUGUGUCAGAUAAGAGAGACACCAAAGAUGUACAGUGUUGGGUUUCUCCAGGAUUGGGAACCACUGCACUAAAAUUUCAAUCAUUAGGAUUGAUGAGCCUCCAGAAGAGAUCUACUCCGCCGGUGACUCCAUUGUCAUCAAAUUCCGCUCAGACGACACCAUCAAUAAGAAGGGCUUCCACGUGCGUUACACCAGCACCAAGUUUCAGGACACACUCCACUCCCGUAAGAAGUGACCCCUAGUGGCCGGGAGGGGCCGUGCAGGGCCUAGGGGGAAGCGAAAGGGCCCCAGGGGGAGGGCCUCGCCCAUCGCUCGGAGCCCCCCGGCCGCCAAGAACACACAGACGCGACGGACCAGCCGCAAGAAUGCCAACCGCACCUCAAUAGUUCACAGGGGUUCUGGCAUCCCCUACUGACUGUGAGGAGUAAAGCCAUUCUGCAGUAGACCUUGUUUUUACCUUUUUUUAAUUAUUACGUUCUGGGCAAGAUGGGGAGGGGGGGAAUGUAUUCAGUAGCUGGAUACCAAUAUAGGGGCGAAAUCAAGGGUGGGCGUAGUUGAUCGGAUACUGGAACCCCCCUCCUUUUUUCACCUUUCAUGAGCCGGGUGUGUUGAAAAACACAAAUACACUAAGGAACUCCUGCAGGAGGACCAGAGCAGUCAACCAAACUCACCAAACCAGUCAUCUGUGCAAGAGUGGGAUAGAGGAAGUGAGAAAUGAGUGAAGCAGGGGUAUUCAGGACGGUGUUCCUCACAUGUUUUCAACCUUGAAACGUGAGAUUUACCGCUACACUGUGGGGAAACAACCAUCUCUUCUUGACAUUAUUGGCAUUGCUUGUUCAUAAAGAGUCUCCUUGGCCAUUGUGGGCCAGUUUCUUUGUCGUUACUUGAGCAAAUUACACUGUAUGUCAAAGAGAUGCAUGUGGUACAGCUAGAAGGAAAUGUGAACGUAAUGGCACCAGCAUUUGUAAUAACUCAUUUUUUCCUGGCCAGUAGUCCAGACGGUUCCCUGCCCGAAAUUAUCACUCUCUCGAGGAGGUUUUUCAGAGUCAGUUAUCAUAUUAAAAGACUAAUAAACAAAACGUGGCCCAUGUCUGAUGGCUGUUAAUUGCUUUUGCAUAAAAACAGGAUGGUAUGGUGGAAAAUAUUUAGUUUUCGUUAGUUUAAGCACACACUCUUUCAAGGUCCUGGUAAUUUGCUGCUGUCCUUGUAGCAUUCACUCUGUGCUUCGCCAAUCAUGAACAAAUUAGGCACAAUCGCAUGAAAAUUGCUGGGUCCUCUUGUGUCCUUGCAUCCCACCGCUGUUUUCUUUUAUCUUCUUUUCCCUCUUUUUCAGGCUCUUUCCUCACAGUACAUGACCAACUGUUGUUUUCAAAAUCAUAGUAUGCGUCAUAGUAUGAUAGCUGUGUGUAUGGACCUUAGUCAGGGUAGACAUCAUAAAAAAUUUAAAAUUAGACAUGACCUUAUGAACUUAAAGAUGUAGUUCAGCCAAAGAUUCUGUCAUCAUUUACUCCAAAUUUGAGUAAGUGACUUAAUUUCUUCUGCGAAACACAAAAUAAGCCAUUUGGAAGAACAUUUUUGUCCAUACAGUGAAAGUCACUGGGGUCCAAAACAACAUAAUUUUGGAAUCCAUUGACUUUUGUUCUAUGGACCCCCCCAAAAAACCCUGAAACAUUCUUCAAAAUGUCUUUUGUGUGUGCAAAAGAAAGAAAGGUUUGGAAUAACAUGAGAGUGAGUAAAUGAUGCCAGAAUUUUCAGUUUUGGGGGAAUUAUCUCUUCAAGACCUGAAACCUAUUGAACAAACUAUAGUGUCUCGUUUUCAUUCAGGUCAGAUUACGUACGGUGUCUACUCUGACUAAGGUCCGUUGUCUCUGCACCCAAUACAAUUUUGAGUUAAAACCUAAAAGGAUUGUCUCUUUUAGCAGUCCUCAGAUGGCCUAUUGCUAGGUAGAUGUUGCUCUUGCACCGCUGACUAUGGGGAAACUGUUAAAACUGUGUAAAAUGUUCAUUUGUACCAAUAACGUACCUCACCGUGUGGGAAAGUGUUGGGAUGGUGCUAUUUCAAAUGAGCCCUGCGCCCCAGUCAUUACGGUCACUUGAAAUCGCUGUUUCUCCAUUGAUAUGCAAUGUCAGUUGGGAAAAGAGGAUGUUUGAUGUCAAAUCUGUGUGGAAUAGUGCUGAAUAAUGUGAUCCCCAGGAUUGAUCAUUUGAUUUGAAGUGUUAGCGCACUCCAUUUCCAGGAUCAUCCCUGUGAAGUAUGCAGCCUGCAUUGCUGCUCCCUACCUCUCUCUCUUUCUGUCUCCUGCAGAACUCCUUCAAAGGCUGUUGACUCUGUCUCCUCUGUUUCAACCGCUCUUUUCAUCAUUUCACACCUGUUUGCCUUUGUGGAUUUACCUAAAGCUCUUUUAAAUCUCAGGUUCAGGAUAUCUGAUUGUUGUUACCCACUGAAUCAUUUCAAGACACUAGAUUUUAGUUGUUGCAGGACUUGGUUACGGUUUGACUCGGAUGUGUGAAAUCCAGGAAGGCAAAUGAUGAGGAUUAUGGUUUUAAGAGGACACAUUUUGGGGUUUUAAAGGGUUUUAGACGUUUCUGCAAUGCCUUCCAUCUGAACCUCCAAGCCACGUGUGCUGUGACCAAACAAGUUGCUCGAUAUACAUCCUUGCAAGCUUACCCUCAUGCUCAAGAUCAACUAACUUCUAUCCUAGUUCUUCAAAUGGAUUUUAUUUUGUGUGUCUAAGAGAACUUCUAUACCCAAUUUAGCAUCUCUGUAUUUGAAUAUGCUUCCUAGCAUAGCUUUUUAGAGUAGCGGAGCACUUGUACAUUUUGCUAAUCGAAGCACAUCCUCCUAAGCAUUAUUAAUGUGUUUAAUGCCCAGGUUAUUUCU